ACACUGGCUCUGCCUCGUUAGCAUCCAGCUGUGAGGAGAAAGGAAGGAAGGGUUGACCUUUGUGGAAUCAUGGGAGAGACUGGAAGGAGAGAGAGGAGGGUGAGGGUGCUUACACAUUUCAUUUCUCGCUCAGUGAAGAUUCGGGUAAGUACCACCAUGCGCAAAGGCACUGUGAGGAUGAGGAUGAAGGGGAAGGCCAGGGAAGCAGCUGUGGACAUGACCGCCCAAAGCAGGGCCAGGCAGAGCAACUGCAAGGCAGUGAACAGGUGCAUCCGCAUGGUCCGAACCUGGAGGCAGAGAUGAGGUGCCACAGCCUUGCUCAUGACAGUGAGUGCGUUGGCAUGAGUGACAGAGCGAACAGUGGCAGCAGCCAACCAAGGCAGGCCAAAGAGGGCACAGAUGCCACCCAUGGCUACAAUGAGCAACAGAUCGAGAUGGAAGCCAGAGCCCUUCUGCAGCAUCCUCUCUUUCUUGGAGAUGAUCAGCCUGGGAGGAGGGAGGCACUGUGAAGCCCAGGCUACUCACAGCAUGGGAGAUCAUAUCAUUCCAGCGUGGCGCCGCUGGCUGGUUCUGGUCAUUUCUGUCCACCCCCCGGGACUGGACCCCCAUCACAAAACUGAACUUGUGUCCUUAGCCUGUGCCUUCAGGAUUUCCCCUGGCAAGCCCUGCUAGGCUAGCCUGCAGUGCCUGUGCCCUGUCCAACCCCAGCUAACAUCAGUGACAUUUGUUACCUGGAAAAGAAGCUAGUCAGCCUGGCAUUCAGGGUCCCCUGAGGUCACUACCUAAGGGCGAUAGGUCCCAUAUCCCUGAGUCUGACUGAGGGCCCCCUCCCUUAGCGAGGAUGGCUCACGUGGUGAUCUGUGUCUCCAUGAAGAUGAGGAUGAACACUAGAACAGCAGGCAGCAGGCUGGCCACCAUCAUCCACACAGGGAAGGGGGUCUUUUCUCCGAGGGGGUUGAUGACCCAGCCCCGCUUAUCUGGGGCUGUCACUGAGAAUCCACUGGGCACACUCAGCUUCUAUAAGGCAGAGACAGUGUGCUAUUACAUGGACCGUACUCAGUGGAACACCAGAACUGAGGGGGUGGAGACAGCCCAGGGUAGCAGCACUUCUCUGCCACUUGUGUGAUGCCUUACCUGGGUGUAGGUGUCCUCAAUACUGUAAUCCACGAGCACCAUGAUGAGGAUAGCGAUGGGCACUCCAAAGUCCCCAAUCACCCGCCGGAUCUAAGAGGGUAAGCACCAUGCUCAGAGGCCUUCUAUCCCACGCAAUCCCCCGAUACUUCCAAGCCAUUCCCUUCCCGUCUUCAGAUCCUCCUCCAGUCCGCAAAAACCACAUACCCGGCCAGGGAAGAACCGGCUGUUCUUGAAUUUGCGCAGGAAGAAGGCGAUGAAGAAAGUGCCAGCCAUUAGUACCAGCGACAGCAAGGCUGUGUUGGGCUGGCCCCGGGGCCUCUCCUGCCCAGACCGCCCAGAUGUGCUACUGUUGUCCGGUACCAGUGUGGUUGCUGCCCAAGUCAUAUUGUUACUGCUGCUGUCUGCCUCUGAGUCGUUGGAGACUGAGCAGCCAUGGAGGGGAUGCUCCUGGAAGAUCUGGAAGGGAGUCACACAGGACCAUGGGCUGAGCUGGGGCCAGGCUGGAUGUCGGUGGUCUAGAGCGGGAGUCUGGCAGAGGCCAGCCUGCCUUCUAGAAGCUCAUCUUACUAGGCUAAGAAAAUGACUUAGCACUUGCUUCAGCAGCACAUGUGCUAAAAUUGGAUACAGAGAAGAUCAGAUUAUUCCCCGUGCAAGGGAUGAUAUGCAGCUCUCCAGUGUUCCUUAUUUUAAAAAACUUGACCCAGUCUAUUUUAAGUUAACACUAAAUCGUUAUCUCAAAAAAAAAAAAAAAAGAAAAAAAAUUCACAAA